rnacentral:antisense_RNA from 1 species
CUUGAGGGAGCCGAGCCGCAGCGGGCUCCCGGAGGUACGGUCGCGUCCGUAGGUGGCGAGCAGCGCCUGCGCCUC